UAAUACGGAUGUAACAGCAACUUGAUUGUAGUGGAUAGGAGAGAUUAGUGGCAGCAAUAAGCUCACAAAAGCAUGUGCCUUACUUGAAUGGGGAGCCCAUUUCCUCAGAAUCACCGAGCUACGCUUCAAAAAUAUAGAUCUAGGAUUGUCAGAUAUGAUUUUUAAGAGAAAUUUUUAAAUAUUUAAAUUCAAUAUUCUUAAAUAUUGUAAUAAUUUUAAGUAAAAUAAAUUAGCUUUUAAAAAGUAAAAACCCUAAGUGAAUGGAUCAGAUAAAUAAGGAAGUGAUAGAUAGACAGAUGAUAGAUAGAUAUAGUAGUCCCUCCUUAUCUGCUAAAGACCACCAGUAGAUGGUUGGAAGCUUGGUUAGUACCAAAUCCUGUAUCUGCUAGGUUAUUUCCUAUUCACACACAUCUGUGACACAGUUUAAGUUAUAAAUUGGGCAGAGUAAGAGAUUAACAGCAAUAAUAAAAAUAAAACAAUUAUAACAAUGUAAAUUGUAUUCUGUGUGUAUGUCUCAAAAUAUCAUAUGGUACUGCACUCACUCUUCUGGUGGUGUGUGAGAGUUUUACAGAAGGACUUUACAGCUUCUCUUUGUCAUAUUCAAAUUGCCAGCAUCACUACCCUUGCUUUGGGGUCAUUUUUCUUUAAAAUUAAAUACAUUUUAAAGAAUAUUUGUUUUUAUUUAAACGGCAGAGGUGGGAGAGAGAGAGAGGGAAGAGAGAGAGUCUUCCAUCCUGUGAUUCACUCUUCCAGUGCCCACAAUAGCUGGGACUAGGCCAGGUCAAAGCCAGAAGCCUACAUCUUGGUCUGGAUCUCCCACGUGGGAGAUGGGGCGCAAAUACCUGAGCCGUCAUCUGCUAUUUUCCAGGGUACACAUUAGCAGGAAGCUGGAACUGCAAGCACAGCAGUGACUGGAACCCUGGCACUUCAGUAAGAUGGGAGCAGUGUUAUCACCAGUACACCAAAUGCCUUCCUCCAGCGUUUCACACUUAACAACAUAGAGCCAACAUCUUUACAUUUCUCUAUCAUUCCUUUAAUGGUUGUCUAGCCCUAAAAUGUAUGAUUAUAUUCCGAUUAGUUAUUGUUGUCAAAGACAGAACUGUGAUAAGCAAUCUUGUAUGUAUUUACAAUACAGUGGUUAAAUUAUUUCUUUCAUACAAACUGCAACAGGAAUGAGAACCGGGCUCUUUAAAAUUUGUCCUUAAGCCAAGUUCACACUGCAACCAGCUUAACCACAAAGGUUAAGUGGAGGAAAAGGAAAGCCGAGAAGCUCCUUCCAGGAAAUGGUAAAUACUUCUGGUCUUGUGGAGUUUGGAAUACCACUGAGUCCACACAAAGUAUGCAGGAUACAAUGCUGGUAGCUCUAGGCAGGUAUGACUGAAGUGCUGACAUUUGGUCCAGCAGAAAGAAGAAAUCUCAGACAGGCAGCAAGCGCAAGAACUCCAGUAGCGUGAGGAAAGUUGAAAGAACCUAAAAAAGGGAUGUGUAAUAAAUUCUUAGGCUAAACAAAGUCCCCAAACAAGUCCUUAGUUAGGAAAUAGUCUAAUCGAGCUAGCGGAACAUUUAGUGAUGGUGUUUAGUGUAUUUUAUCCUUGCUUUAUUUAAAUGUUCAAUAAAUUUAAUGAAUAUUAUCCUAAGCUUAUUAAAUUCAUUUUUUUUGAUAGGCAGAGUGGACAGUGAGAGAGAGAGAAAGAGAGAAAAGUCUUCCUUUUUUGUUGGUUCACCCCCCAAUGGCUGCUGUGGCCGGCACAUCGCGCUGAUCUGAAGGCAGGAGUCAGGUGCUUCCUCCUGGUCUCCCAUGCAGGUGCAGGGCCCAAGGACUUGGGCCAUCCUCCACUGCACUCCCUGGCCACAGCAGAGAGCUGGACUGGAAGAGGAGCAACCAGGACAGAAUCCGGCGCCCCAACCGGGACUAGACCCCAGUGUGCCGGCGCUGCAGGCGGAGGAUUAGCCUAUUGAGCCGCGGCGCUGGCCAGCUUAUUAAAUUCUUUAAAAAAAUUUAAUAAUAUUCCCUUGUAGUAAUUAUUGGAGAACCUAGAUAUCCUAAUGCCACUGGGUUUUGAUGUAAAUUCUCAAUAUGUUGUAGACACAUUUUUAACAAUUUUCUAUUACACAGAGAUAGAGCACUCUUCUGCUGACUCACUCUCCAAAUUCCCAAGACAGCGUGGGUGCUGAAGCCCAGAGCCUGAAACUCCAUCCAGAUCGUCCACGUGGGGAGCAAGAACUGAAUGCCUUGAGCUGUCACUGCUGCCUCUCAGGAUCUGCAUUAGCGUGGAGCCGCCUUUAGGAAUCGGAGCCCAGCUAGACCCAGGAAGGAAGGCCCAUGAUAUCCAACACCAGGUAGAGGAUGACACAAAGGUUUGAAUAUCUUGACACGGGGUGCAUUGGGGACCACUGUGGAACCUGCUGAUUGCACACUUCAUCUGAUGAUUCUGGUUCCAUUUCGCACAUUGAAAGUUUUGUUCCUCGGUAAUGGUGACGAUAACCAGAAAAUUUAUGAUCUGACCUUUUGAUGAUCCCUACCAAGAUGAUGGAAAUCUGAGAUUGUCAUGCAAUCUCUGUUGCAUGACAGCUUCCUGCUAAUGUGUACCCUGGGAGGCAGCAGAAGAUAACCCAAGUACUUGGGUUCCUGCCACUCACACAUGAGGUAUGGAUUGAAGUUCCGGCUCCCAGGCAUUUGGGGAGUUGAACCAGUUUAUGGGAGGUCUCUGUCUGUCUCUAUAUCUAAGUCUCUCGCUGCAUCCCAAAUCAAUUAAAUAAAUACUCUUAAAAAAGAAUAAAUUUAUUUUAAAAUAACGCAUUUCACUCACUUCUAUCAUUUAAAGAUUAUUUACUUGAAAGGCAGAGGUACAGAGAGAGAGGGCAAAGGUAGAGAGAAAGAAAGAUCUUUCAUCUGCUGUUUUGCUCCCCGGAUGACCAAAAGCUAAGAGCUUGAAACCACCCACGUCUCCCACAUUGCUGGCAGGGGCCCUCAUAGGACAGCACCUUUGGCUUUCCCAGGCACAUUAGGCAGAAGCUGGAUGGGAAGUGGAACAGCCGGGACUCAAACCAGAACUCAUAUGGGAUGCUCGUUGCAGGCAGUGGCUGAACUGGCUGCACCACAGUGCUGACCCCCUUCAUUCACUUUUGAAAAAGAUAAUAUUUGUUAAAAGGCAAUGUUAUUCUUUGCUAUGAAUAUGUAAAAUAUUAUGAUUCUUACCGGUUAGUCAGCCAGAUUUUCUUUUAAUCAAGUGACAAAAGACUUCAGAAAACUUGUUUGAGUUUUAUCAUUCCAAGAUUGGACACUUGAUUUAGAAACAAAGUAAAGAUUCCCUGUAGGGACCCAGAAAAUAAAAUAAAAUAAAGAUUUAUUCGUUCACAUUAUGAAAAGUGAGAUCUAGAAAUAAUUGAGUUUUUUUGAUAUGCUCCAUAUUUCUUAAUCAGCCCCAAUAGCACUGUAAGAGCUCCGAAAGCAGAGUUGUUAACUCAAAGGGUAACUUUGUAAAGUUACUACUGUAAUUUCUCAGAAGUUAUAGAAGACCUUGGAGUGUUUUAAUGUUCCCCCUGAUCAUAGUAUGUCCUUAGGUUCAGAGAAAACAUUAAAGACAUUCUUAUAAAGCAUAAUAUGUCAUGCCCAAUGGAGGAUUUUACUCUCUCCCUUGCCUAUACUGUUGGUUUUUGCAAUAAAUUUACCAUGGCAGUCUAUAUCAUCAGCAGCUAUAACUUUUACUCUGGGGCUUACAGCUCAGACCAGGAUUUUGUUUUAAGUCAACAGUAGUUUCAGAGAAUCAAGGACAGGAUGUAACAGACACUCUUAAAGACUGAACCUUCAAAGAAUGAACUGUGCAUACCAUCCCCAGGUGGACACGUCCUUUGUGUCUUUGAGACCGUAACAGGCCACUGAGUCAGGAUUUCCAGGGCACUUUUUAGCUCACUAUUAGAUGACCUUGGGAAGCACAGAGUUGAUUCAGGAUCCACUGGAACACAAAUGUGUUGCUUAGGACUGAAUAAACUAAUAAGAGAUGUUUAAUUGUGAUUGCUUAUUUGGAAUAUUGUUAAUAUUUUAAAAUCCUUAUUUAUUUAUUUAUUUGAAAGAUAGACAGAGACAGGCAGUGAUCUCCCAUCCUCUGAUCCACUUCCCAAACACCAUCAACAGUCAGGAGUGGGCCAGACUGAAGUCAGUAUGGAGGAACUCAAUUUGAGUCUCCCAAGUUGGGUGGUAGGGACUCAACUACUUGACUCGUCAUCUGCUACCUCCUAGGAUGAACAUUAGGGGGAUGCUGCAAUUUGAAUUCGACCUGGCAUUGGAAAUUGACUCUGAUAUGAGUUUGAUAUGAGAUGCAGUCAUUCAAAGCAGUGUUUCUUAACUGUUGUGCCAAACAUCUGCUCAGAAUAUUAAUUUUAAGAUUUUUAUCUUCUAAGGAUUAUAUAGAGAACUCAUGUUGUUUCUUCUUAAGCUAUCUCCAACUUUAAACACUAUGCAUCUGUAAAUUGAAAUGACUUAUAGUAUAAAAAUUGAUAUCCGAUUUUUACCGAUCUCUCAGGAUUCAGAAAUAACUGGUUUUCCUUUGCUUUUCAUGGCAAUACAGUUAAUUGCAUAGGUUUAAUAAUAAAUUAUAAUGUUAAAUUUUACCAGGCACAACUGGGCAAAUUGAUUGUUCACAGAAGGCAUUGUAAGUACAAUAUUUAAAGAUGAUUCAUAUAUUCAGAUAUGACAAGCCAAACACUAAGAAGUGAUGGUUGUAUUUGACACUUGCAACAACUACUAACAGAGUUAGAUGAAGCACACAUAUCUGGGAUAUCUUCUGUGGCUGAGGGGGUCCCAAUUUCACUGCCUAAUGAAGAUUAUCCCUGGAAAGGACAAUGUAUAUUUUAGAGAAUCUAUGGGAGGGAAAAAUUCACCCGAAUUUGUUUACAAGUUAAGAUACUAUACCAAACUCUGUUUCUUAC